GAUGCUGGGCGCAGCCUGAUCCAGCAAUGCCGCGUGAGUGAAGAAGGCCUUCGGGUUGUAAAGCUCUUUUGUCAGGGAAGAAACGGUAGAGGCUAAUAUCCUUUGCUAAUGACGGUACCUGAAGAAUAAGCACCGGCUAACUACGUGCCAGCAGCCGCGGUAAUACGUAGGGUGCAAGCGUUAAUCGGAAUUACUGGGCGUAAAGCGUGCGCAGGCGGUUUUGUAAGUCUGACGUGAAAGCCCCGGGCUCAACCUGGGAAUUGCGUUGGAGACUGCAAGGCUUGAAUCUGGCAGAGGGGGGUAGAAUUCCACGUGUAGCAGUGAAAUGCGUAGAGAUGUGGAGGAACACCGAUGGCGAAGGCAGCCCCCUGGGUCAAGAUUGACGCUCAUGCACGAAAGCGUGGGGAGCAAACAGGAUUAGAUACCCUGGUAGUCCACGCCCUAAACGAUGUCUACUAGUUGUCGGGUCUUAAUUGACUUGGUAACGCAGCUAACGCGUGAAGUAGACCGCCUGGGGAGUACGGUCGCAAGAUUAAAACUCAAAUGAAUUGACGGA
rnacentral:rRNA from 1 species